AUGUCGGUGACAGCUGCUUGUACUGCUUUUGCUGAUAUAUCACUGUUCCAGAUGGGCCGGAGGUCCAAGCUGUCCUCGCCAGCAGCUGCGAUAGAUGGAGCUUCUUCCUCAACUAUGGUGCCCGUGAAGAAGGUGCCCGCACUCAACACGGCGUACAAUUCGGGGAUGCUGCAUUCCAUCGCCGGAGACUGGAAUCCAAACAUCAAAGGUGUGUUUUCCGGGAUAGGCAUGGAGGAGCUGUGCAAGAUCAAGGACAUGGGCAACAAUAACCGUAUCUUUAGCAUGUCCAUGUUAGCUAGGAUAGAUCCUAAAGAUAUGAAGAUGUAUAUGGGCGAUGGGAAUCAUGUUAUUGUCAAUUAUAGGGAGGUGGCGAAAUGUUUAGGGUUGUCGCCGUGUGGUAGGAAGAUAGAUAUCCCGGGCGGGGUUUACUUAGCGAACAGGGAAGGCUUGCUAGAGAACUUGCAUGCCAUCUUAGACACCACCAUGUCUAGGGCAAGUAGGAUCCCUGUCGUCAAAGUGAAGAAAAUCAUACAAAACGCAAGCAAGGUAGCGAUUGUAGGAGCAGAAAAGGAGAAGAUGAUAGUGGCAUGUACAAUCAUAGCCGCUUCAACAUUUCUCCUGCCUAGGGGAGCACACCCCAAAAUUGCCAAUGAAAUCCUUCCGGUCCUAGCUGAGCCGACCCAAAUCUCCGAUUACGAUUUCUGUGAUUAUGUUGUGGAGGGGUUGAGAGAGGGUGCUGCCAAGCUUAGGGAGGAUCUCCUGCAUGACCCAUCUCAGCUGAGUCUCCAAGGGUGCCUUGUCAUCCCUCAGAUCAUUUUCUAUGAUUACCAUGAACACGGGAUGGAGGGACGAGAGACCCUGUCGUUCCCUCGCUUGGCCUCGUACUCGGAUCUGAUGAUGAAACUGCAGAUUCGCAAGCAUGCAGCAAGGCAUGGUGUGGCCGCUGGAUUUGAGGCAGUGGAUGUCCCCAGGUCGCCGGUAAUCAAUGCCGUUUGUGGGAGCGCAACUCAAGAACAUGGCUGGGCCACGCCAAGUUCUAGUGUGCAUGCUCCUCCUACUGGAUUUCGUGUGGACCAUGCGACAGAGAUACCACGAGAGAUUCUUGAUGCGUUCAAGGAGGCAGUGGAGCAUCAACUGAAGCAGCGUGAGCAGGAAUUCAUGAAGAUGGUAGAGGAGACACAAGUCAAAGUGCUUGUAGAAAUCAAGAGCAAGGCAGAUGCUAAACGGCACAGAGACCCGGAGGACACGCUUGGCGAUUUCAUGGAUCGAGUGAAGAGGCAAGCUCCGAUGGCUGCCGCAUUUCCUAAUGUGAGCCAAACCUCGCAUCGGCCCAGGGUAAGUACAGAUAUUACGCAAGAUCUGGCUGAAACCUCAAGGGAAGCUGCUAGGGCUUUGAUGUCAGUAGUUGUAGUUAAUGAAGAGCCACGUGGCAACCCAGAGACGAGUGCGGUGGCGGGUGCAUCAACGCGUGUGCAAGAAACUGACAUCAACUCACAAGCUGCAGUGCAUGUAAGUGCAUAUGGGAAAGAUGUUGCUGUGCAGGCUGGUGUUGAUGAACCAAUGGAGAAGACUAUGAUCGUGGACCACAAAUGA
rnacentral:rRNA from 1 species